rnacentral:rRNA from 1 species
CAGCAGCCGCGGGAAAACGGAGGGAGCUAGCGUUGUUCGGAAUUACUGGGCGUAAAGCGCGCGUAGGCGGUUACUCAAGUCAGAGGUGAAAGCCCGGGGCUCAACCCCGGAACUGCCUUUGAAACUAGGUGACUAGAAUCUUGGAGAGGUCAGUGGAAUUCCGAGUGUAGAGGUGAAAUUCGUAGAUAUUCGGAAGAACACCAGUGGCGAAGGCGACUGACUGGACAAGUAUUGACGCUGAGGUGCGAAAGCGUGGGGAGCAAACAGGAUUAGAUACCCGCGUAGUCCCUGUCUCUUAUAC